rnacentral:rRNA from 1 species
UACAGAGGUGGCAAGCGUUGUUCGGAUUUACUGGGCGUAAAGGGUGCGUAGGUGGUCAUCUGUGUCGGGUGUGAAAUCCCACGGCUCAACCGUGGAAUGGCAUUCGAAACUGGAUGGCUAGAGUGCAGGAUGGGAGAGCGGAAUUCUUGGUGUAGCGGUGAAAUGCGUUGAUAUCAAGAAGAACACCGGUGGCGAAGGCGGCUCUCUGGAAUGCAACUGACACUGAGGCACGAAAGCUGGGGAAGCAAACAGG